AUUGAACGCUGGCGGAAUGCUUUACACAUGCAAGUCGAACGGCAGCACGGACUUCGGUCUGGUGGCGAGUGGCGAACGGGUGAGUAAUGUAUCGGAACGUGCCCAGUCGUGGGGGAUAACGUAGUGAAAAUUACGCUAAUACCGCAUACGAUCUAUGGAUGAAAGCGGGGGAUCGCAAGACCUCGCGCGAUUGGAGCGGCCGAUAUCAGAUUAGGUAGUUGGUGGGGUAAAGGCCCACCAAGCCAACGAUCUGUAGCUGGUCUGAGAGGACGGCGAGCCACACUGGAACAGAGACACGGUCCAGACUCCUACGGGAGGCAGCAGUGGGGAAUUUUGGACAAUGGGCGAAAGCCUGAUCCAGCCAUUCCGCGUGCAGGAUGAAGGCCCUCGGGUUGUAAACUGCUUUUGUACAGAACGAAAAGGUUUCUACUAAUACUAGGAGCUCAUGACGGUACUGUAAGAAUAAGCACCGGCUAACUACGUGCCAGCAGCCGCCGUAA
rnacentral:rRNA from 1 species